CAGUCGCCGCGGUAAUACAGAGGGUGCGAGCGUUAAUCGGAUUUACUGGGCGUAAAGCGUGCGUAGGCGGCUUUUUAAGUCGGAUGUGAAAUCCCUGAGCUUAACUUAGGAAUUGCAUUCGAUACUGGGAAGCUAGAGUAUGGGAGAGGAUGGUAGAAUUCCAGGUGUAGCGGUGAAAUGCAUAGAGAUCUGGAGGAAUACCGAUGGCGAAGGCAGCCAUCUGGCCUAAUACUGACGCUGAGGUACGAAAGCAUGGGGAGCAAACAGGAUUAGAUACCCCUGUAGUCCCUGUCUCUUAUAC
rnacentral:rRNA from 1 species